rnacentral:rRNA from 1 species
GACGAACGCUGGCGGCGUGCUUAACACAUGCAAGUCGAACGGAAAGGCCUCUUUCGGGGGGUACUCGAGUGGCGAACGGGUGAGUAACACGUGAGUAACCUGCCCCUGACUUUUGGAUAACUUCACGAAACUGGGGCUAAUACCGCAUAUGAGCUCCUGCUGCAUGUUGGGGGUUGGAAAGUUUCGGGGGUUGGGGAUGGACUCGCGGCUUAUCACCUUGUUUGUGGGGUAGUGGCUUACCAAGGCUUUGACGGGUAGGCGGCCCGAGAGGGUGACCCGCCCAAUUGGGGCUGGGAUACGGGCCAGACUCCUACGGGAGGCAACAGUGGGGAAUAUUGCAAAAUGGGUGGAAGCCUGAUGCAGCAACGCCGUGGGGGGGAUGAAGGCCUUCGGGUUGUAAACCGCUUUCGCUCAUGACGAAGCUUUGUGUGACGGUAGUGGGUAAAGAAGCACCGGCUAACUACGUG